rnacentral:rRNA from 1 species
GGGUUGUGAGGUUAAGCGACUAAGCGUACACGGUGGAUGCCCUGGCAGUCAGAGGCGAUGAAGGACGUGCUAAUCUGCGAUAAGCGUCGGUAAGGUGAUAUGAACCGUUAUAACCGGCGAUUUCCGAAUGGGGAAACCCAGUGUGUUUCGACACACUAUCAUUAGCUGAAUCCAUAGGUUAAUGAGGCGAACCGGGGGAACUGAAACAUCUAAGUACCCCGAGGAAAAGAAAUCAACCGAGAUUCCCCCAGUAGCGGCGAGCGAACGGGGAGCAGCCCAGAGCCUGAAUCAGUGUGUGUGUUAGUGGAAGCGUCUGGAAAGGCGCGCGAUACAGGGUGACAGCCCCGUACACAAAAAUGCACAUGCUGUGAGCUCGAUGAGUAGGGCGGGACACGUGGUAUCCUGUCUGAAUAUGGGGGGACCAUCCUCCAAGGCUAAAUACUCCUGACUGACCGAUAGUGAACCAGUACCGUGAGGGAAAGGCGAAAAGAACCCCGGCGAGGGGAGUGAAAAAGAACCUGAAACCGUGUACGUACAAGCAGUGGGAGCACGCUUAGGCGUGUGACUGCGUACCUUUUGUAUAAUGGGUCAGCGACUUAUAUUCUGUAGCAAGGUUAACCGAAUAGGGGAGCCGAAGGGAAACCGAGUCUUAACUGGGCGUUAAGUUGCAGGGUAUAGACCCGAAACCCGGUGAUCUAGCCAUGGGCAGGUUGAAGGUUGGGUAACACUAACUGGAGGACCGAACCGACUAAUGUUGAAAAAUUAGCGGAUGACUUGUGGCUGGGGGUGAAAGGCCAAUCAAACCGGGAGAUAGCUGGUUCUCCCCGAAAGCUAUUUAGGUAGCGCCUCGUGAAUUCAUCUCCGGGGGUAGAGCACUGUUUCGGCAAGGGGGUCAUCCCGACUUACCAACCCGAUGCAAACUGCGAAUACCGGAGAAUGUUAUCACGGGAGACACACGGCGGGUGCUAACGUCCGUCGUGAAGAGGGAAACAACCCAGACCGCCAGCUAAGGUCCCAAAGUCAUGGUUAAGUGGGAAACGAUGUGGGAAGGCCCAGACAGCCAGGAUGUUGGCUUAGAAGCAGCCAUCAUUUAAAGAAAGCGUAAUAGCUCACUGGUCGAGUCGGCCUGCGCGGAAGAUGUAACGGGGCUAAACCAUG